UCGCUUUGCCUGUGAAAAACAAGACACCGUGGGACUGGCCCAGCCCAGGCCCACCCACCCUGGCCCCUGGGCUGUGGGCUGCAGACAAACAGAGAAAGAGUGCCCCUGGCUCGCUCCUGGCCCCGUGCUUCCUAACGUGGAGGCUGCCACUGCAUCGUGGGAUCUGGCUUUCUGGUUUGAUUGGAGGAACCGGAGCAUGUUUACACCCUAAAGGAAACGUGCCAGCAGAGUGGACAGCUGAAAGAUCCACACAAUAGACAGGGAAGCCGCACAGACACCCACCUACUAACAGAACGCAGCAUUCUUCUGUGCGGUCGCAAGUGCAGACAUGUGUUUUUCCUCCCCCACAUCUAGCAUCAGAAAGUUGGCCACAGCGUCUGUUUGAGGAGGCUGGCAGCUCUGUCUUGAGUGAGUCAGACAGGACAGCAGGAAGGGUUGGGACUCUGCGGCUGUUCUGUAGAGCCGCGUAGAGCCAGUGGACUUGCUCCUUUGUCCUUCUGGCUUG